rnacentral:rRNA from 1 species
AUUGAACGCUGGCGGCAUGCCUUACACAUGCAAGUCGAACGGUAACGCGGGGCAACCUGGCGACGAGUGGCGAACGGGUGAGUAAUGCAUCGGAACGUGCCCAGUAGUGGGGGAUAGACCGGCGAAAGCCGGAUUAAUACCGCACACGACCUACGGGCGAAAGCGGGGGACCGUAAGGCCUCGCGCUAUUGGAGUGGCCGAUAUCAGAUUAGGUUGUUGGUGGGGUAAAAGCCUACCAAGCCGACGAUCUGUAGCUGGUCUGAGAGGACGACCAGCCACACUGGGACUGAGACACGGCCCAGACUCCUACGGGAGGCAGCAGUGGGGAAUUUUGGACAAUGGGGGCAACCCUGAUCCAGCCAUGCCGCGUGCGGGAAGAAGGCCUUCGGGUUGUAAACCGCUUUUGUCAGGGAAGAAACGCUCUGGGCUAAUACCCCGGGGUAAUGACGGUAUCGUAAGAAUAAGCACCGGCUAACUACGUGCCAGCCGCCGCGGUAACAC